UACAGAGGUCUCAAGCGUUGUUCGGAUUCAUUGGGCGUAAAGGGUGCGUAGGCGGUCGGGUAAGUCUGUCGUGAAAUCUCCGAGCCUAACUCGGAAACUGCGUCGGAUACUAUUCGGCUAGAGGAAUGGAGGGGAGACUGGAAUUCUCGGUGUAGCAGUGAAAUGCGUAGAUAUCGAGAGGAACACCAGUGGCGAAGGCGAGUCUCUGGACAUCUCCUGACGCUGAGGCACGAAAGCCAGGGGAGCAAACGGG
rnacentral:rRNA from 1 species